UAUACCGAGGGACUCCUUCCUCGGAAUUUUCCGAGGGCUCCGUUCCUCGGAAAUUCCCGAUGAAAAUUCCGAGGAUUGGACCAUCGGAAAGUCCAUCGAAACAUACUGAGGGACUCCUUCCUCGAAAUUUUCCGAGAGCUCCAUUCCUCGGAAAUUCCCGAUGAAAAUUCCGAGGAACAUUUCGUCGGAACUUCCGAGGAUUGGACCAUCGGAAAGUCCAUCGAAAUAUCCCGAGGAAGUUCUCCCUCGGUAUAUUUCGAGGACCUUUCCGACGAACUGGUGGUCCUCGGAGUUUCCUCGGAAAUUCAUUUCCUCGGAAUUCCGUCGGAAAUUUCCGAGGGAUUUCCGAGGAAAAUGAAUUUCCGAGGAGUUAUUUCCAAGGACUUGUUUCGUCGGUAUGUCGUCGGAAUAACGUUAUUCUGACGAUAUACCGACAAUUUUUUUCCCUCGGUAUGUCGCUGUUUUCUUGUAGUGUUGGUUUCAUUUUAUAUUCGACUUUACUCUCUUCUGGUAUACUGCUGUGUUAUUACUGCUCACUCUCGGACUAUUUGUGGUGUUAGAUUAGACAUUUCAGAGUUAUUGUUGUAUGUCUCAUGUGUACCACAUUGCAGAGGUUAUCAAUGUGUAUCAUAUUUAAUAUCUAAGUUGGUGAAAGUAUGACCCUUUUUGUGAAUAUAAGUUUUGAGUCCUCUCCUUGAUGAGCUAAUGACAUUGGAAGUGGUAUGCAUUAGGGUUUAGAGAUAGAGAUUCACCGUAAUUUUUUCAACAUAUGUUUUUUGUUUUUAACUAAAGUGGUUGUUGUAUGAAUGUCAGUAGCUUUUAAUAUGUAAGAUCAUAUGAAGACUUUCUUCGUAAGUGUAGUGCAAGUACUGUGGUGUGGCAUCACGUUCAUGGGACCUAGCUAAGCUGUUGAGAAGAACUGCGAGCUACCUGAUGGGCAAGUGAUGACAAUUGGUUCUGAGCGGUUUCGUUGUCCUGAGGACCAAGGUUAUUUACCAGCCAUCUAUGAUUCGUAUGGAGAAUACUGGCAUCCAUGAAACAAAUUAUAACUCCUUAAUGAAAUGUAAUGUAGACAUCAGAAAGGAUGUGUACGGUAUAACAUCGUGAUCAGUGGUGGAAGCACAUUUUCUCUGAGAUUGCUAACAAUUUGAGCUAAGAUAUCACGAACCUUUGUCUUCCAAUGUGUACCAAGGUUUUUUUUUGUUCUUAUGUAUUUUGAAAUUCUGGUCAAAGACAUUUUCAAAGAUUUAUGUUCUUCUUAUUUAGUUCAGCUGCCGUGUGAGUGAAUAAUAACACAUCUUUCUCUCUUUAAUUAUUAUGUAGCAUUGUGUUUCAAGUUCUCUUUGUUUUAUUUUUUUCUACGUUUGUAAACUUCAAUCAAUUCAAAUGGUGGAACUAUAGAUACAAUACAUGAUUAAAGAGAAACCAACACAUACCAUAAAAGCAAAGUUAGAGAAUCCAAAAGUCUAAUUAACGUUGGAGUUAUUAAAUCAUACAAUCAGCCCAAAACAAAAAAACUUACAUUACAUGUCGACACAACAAAGACAAGAAGACAUCUUAGAAGGUAUUUUCAUGGUUUGGAUCAGUGUUCAGGUCGGUCUAAUAGCCCCUCUGCCUGCAACCAUGUGCUGUUCCAGAAACUCGGUGAGUCUGAUAUGGUAGAGGUCCAUUGAUCAGCCAGUUUCUGGUCUUUGGCCGCUGCGUCUCUCCUUCAACCAGCAGAUGUCUUUAUACUCUCCUUCUAUCUUCUCUCUUGCGAUCUUCUGCUCUUCCCAGUUAAAAUAAUCUCAGUUAAAAAGACUACCACGCAUGAGUUGAAAUGUUAAAUUUAAUUGCAUAUUCCUCGACUAUAUAAAUCGAACCCUUUAGCUAAAAUAAAAACACAAUUCUUCCAAAAAGAUUUUUCACAUAAUGCACGGAGAUCAACCCCUAUGAAAACUCGAAGCCCUCCCUCAAGACCUCCAAGGUGAUAUCUUCUCAAGAGUAGCACAGUUAUCAAGAACCACCACACGCCAUCUAAUGCAAUCAUGCCCAUUUCACCGAAGCUGCUAAAGACACACGAGGCUACACGCAUAUGACAGUCAAAUCAUUGACCAUCCAUCCACUUGCUUCUCUAAUAAGGUAUUGCAAUCUCAUGACAAAAUAUUUGUCGCUGGAAACUUAGAAACAGUGCUAUUUGUAUAACCAAAUGAAAAAUAAUAUACUUUAUUUUAUAUAUGGUGAAUCACUUCUAAUUCCUAAAAAUAAAACAUCAUAUCUCAUCUGUUUUCAUGUACUUUAGCAAUAACAAUUUUUGUGGGUUUCUGUUGGACACAAUAUAUAAAUUUUUUACUUCUCUACGUUUACGUUUAACCACUCAUUUUUCUCAUACAUAUAUAUUACGCCAAGAAAAUGUAUACGCAAUAUAUAUUAAUAAACUCAAGCUUUUCACUUAAACCCAAACAAAUAUCCAUCAUGGAAAAAACCUACACCUUAAAAAAAAACACCAAAUUAUUACCAUACACUCGCUAAAGCAAUGAUAACAAAUACAACACAUACAUUUCAAUAAACCAAGCCACCUCUUUAAAUAACUUAUGUGAAUAGCACAAAGAGUAAACCACCCCGCAUGUAGCACAUGCAUACUACUAGAAACCAAGACCAUCCAAGAGAGAUGGCGCAGUAAGUUUAUAAGCAAGUUUAAGAAUCUAUAUCAAAGAAGAUGGUGAUUCUGAAAACACAAAAUUAUCAUCGAACUUAUCGUUCCAUAUAAGGAACUUUCACUGAGAAUCACAGCAGCUAGGUAACAUGCCAUUGAAGAAGUUAAGAUCGAAUCUGAAAGUUUCAAGCUUUACCAUUGUAGAAAACUUGUGUAGUAAUUGAUCGAAACAGAAACUUAUUGCUCAGAUUCAAUUACUAGACUGACGUUAACCUAUGAAGUUUCACAGGGAUGUGAUCCCAAAUCCCUAAAGAAGCCCAAGUAAGUAAGAAUCUUAAGGGACAUUAGUCUUCGCAGUGUAGUGACAAAUGAUUCUACUGUCAAUCUGUCAAACAAAGUGACGUGGCAUAUAGCAAAUCCCUCAAAGACUUUAACCUUUUCUGGUGAUUCAAGAACUAAUGAUUUCCACACAACCUUUUAACCAACCAUGUUUUUCAGAAUUUAUGCUUUCAAUAAAAAGAUUAUAGAACGCCUUUUACCACCGAUUUGGAUCAUGAUUUUUUUUAGUAAAAAUUUUGAGAUAAAUGUAUUUAAUUUCAGUCCCAAAUCACAAUUCCCUCAAUCACUUCAGGGUGUCCUAUGUCUUAAUUCAUGGGUUGAUGUGUCAUAAGAGGAUGUUCAGGUGGCUUAAGACAAAAGAUGCCCUUACACAUAAAGACUUGGAUCACAAAUCAGAGUUCUCUUAAAUAUAUAUAUUUACAAUCAGAAAUAAGAUAAAAUAUUGAAAAUAUGUAAAAUAAUUAUUGUAUCUUUCAAUGGUGAACUAUACAUAUAAUAUCUAAAAAACAAAACAAAUACAGUAUAUUUAUAAGUACAAUUUCAAAUUUAUAUAAUUUGUACAUUAUUCAUUUAUUUAUUCACCCGCCUGUAGUACUAUCAUAUUGCAGACCGGUGUGGAGUCACUUGACACCACAAAAACCGGAUAAUAUGUUAGUUUUGUAUACUAAACUAUAAAUAUCGUUAGCUCAGUCGGUAAAGUAAUGUGUAUGCCCCACCCCCUUCCCCAAAAACCAGGGUUGGACACCCCUUCAAUGACACUUUUAUUAAUUUAUUCCUGGGUCCUCCCCUGGUACAAAAUAAUGAAGAGGAUGAUGCUCAAAGUUUUUUGCCUGCAAAAAUUUCGACCGUCCCGAAUAAAGGUUUUUUGAGAGGUAAUCAUGAAAUAUGUAUCCUCCUCUCUGCCGAAUUAAUGAUUCCAUUCUGAAUCCUUGGGGAUCUUAAUUUUCUAUUUCGGGAUGUUAUUUGUCAGUGGAAAGGCCGAAUUGAUUUUUCCUUAUGUCUGAUUUUCGAAGUAACUUCGAAGAUCACAAGUUUGGUAAUUCUUCACCUCCUUUUCGAGCUCUACCAUCUAAACAUAUAUCUGGCACUCUAUAAUUAAUUGUUAUUGGGGUUCCCCGCUUCGCGGGUCAUUCCCCUGAGUCCGGUCAGACAGCGGUCCACUUCACCCGGGAGGGCUUUACCUGGGCUGGAUCGAACCCAGUACCGCUUUGGUGUCCAGAAGAAGCAGGGUAGUUUCCGCAUGGGGGGGAAUCGAACCCGGAUGGUGGUUGCCACCACAGGCCCGUCCUGCCACUUGGACUACCUCGUCCGUCUCUUAUUUAUGUAUGUAGCAACUGGUUGCAGACAUGCAGAGGAAGACAACUGAGAGGAGAAGGAGCUGAACACUUGAAAGAAGAAUGAAUGCCACCUCACAAAUAUCUCUACUGUCCUCUCUUUGUUGAACAUGUUUGAGAUUGAUAAUUCUUCUUGGUGGUUUGAUCCUUGAGGAGGUCAGAGUCUUGGAUUAUCUGACGCUGGGUUUGGAGUGUGUGGUGUGCUUUGGUGCUUGGGUUCCAAAGUAGAGAUGGUUUGUGUAACACCCGAAUUUCUCGAAAUAAUAUAAAUGCGAAAAAUAACAUAAUAAUAAAUACUGAAAUAAUAAUAAACUCCAUAUAAUAAUAUCGGAUUAAAUACAAUACCGUAAGAUCCAAACCGCAAAUACCGGUAAUAACAUAAGUCCGAAAUAAACGACAACAUAAAUCCGAAAAUCUAAAAUAGAAAAUAACAUAAACGAUAAAAGUCCAAAGGCCUAAAGGUCCGAUAGCGAUAAAAGCGAUAGAAGCCCAAAAGCCCAAUAGCACUAGUCUGAUAAUCACUCAUGCUCGUCGGUCUCACCUGAAAAGGGGAAGAGUGAGGGGUGAGCGACAGGGGAAUCGCCCAAUGAGGUAUGGGAUGCUACCCCGAAGUCCAUGGACCCGGACAUAACACUCCGAAUAAAUAUAAUUUAAUUCUAAUACACAUCAAACAUGGCACCUAACGUACCCAAGCAACAAGCAAUGAUCCUAGCGAGGCGCGCACUCGCCGCCCACUAACAGGCCAAAAACAUAACACAGCUCGAGAUAGUGCUCGGACACCGCCCGUAGACGAUUUAUCGACACUCCCAGGCUACAGCUCAACCGGUCGACUACCCCAUACAAUCCGGCAUAUAGAAGUCCGUCUCUGCACCCGGCGGUUGGAAUUGUUUUAAACCAACCGGUUUAUCCUAAUCGAAAUCCAAUUGAUUUUAACCGGCGGUUUAAGCUAACCAACCCUAAAUCAAUUUAAACCAGUCAAACCAACCGGUUGACCGAGUCACCGAGCUGACUCACCGGGUCGACUCGGCCGAGUUGGCGAGUCGCCGGCGAAUCACCGGCAAUAGUCACCGGCGGCGACGGCGGAGGGUGGCGGCGGCUUACCGGUAAAUCAACGGCGGCGGCGGCGGCGGAGAGGCGGCGGCGGCGGCGGAGAGGCGGCGACGCGGUGGCAGCUUCUCGGCGGCGAACGGAAGGUGGCCGGUCACGGCGGCUUCGGCGAACGGUGGUCGGCGACGGCGGCGAGUGGCCGGAAUGCGCGGCGGCUCCAGCGGACUGCGACGGCGCGUGCGUUUCAUGCCCGCGCAGAAGCGAAACUUCGGGAGGCUCUAGCGGCUUUGUCCGGGCUCCGAUUGCGGCGUGGUUGGUGGCUACGGCUUCGUCUCGAUGAGAGGAACAUGAUGGUGGUCUUGCAUGCACGAAAUUCCCAACGGUUAAAAAGUUAUGAUCGAUUUACUAAAAUGGUCGAAAUAAAACUUAAGUGCAUGCGUUUUCCGGUUACCUUGAGCUGCGGUUCACGGUGGGGAGGAGGCUGGCACGGUCCGUCGGUUAGGUAGCUCCGGCGACGAUCUCAGGCAGCUCAAAUUCUGCAAAAAUUCUUCAUUCUCUUAAUUCUUUCUCUACUCUUUCUUCUUCUUUCUAUUUUUUUUUGAUGUUUCUGACAAAACAAGGUGGGGAUGAUGGGUAUUUAAAGAAAAAUACCUUGGGCCUCUUGAAAUGACUUUGGACCUCGUUGAAUGUCAGAUGGGCCUGGGUUUGGGUCAUGACAGUUUGAUUGCCCAAAAAGAAAUCAACCGAAACACCAUUUCACAACCCGUUUAUAAUCUGGUUUAGUCCCAUGUAAGCUCAUAUGUUCUGUAUGUAAACUUGUAGAUAACAUAAAUAAAGAAUCUCUUUUUUUUUC